rnacentral:rRNA from 1 species
GAGUACUAAAAAUUAUGAAAACAAAAAACUUUGGCGGUACUUUAAGCUUUUCAGAGGAAUUUGCUCUUUAAUGGAUAAAUCGCCUAAAUCUUACUAAAAUUUGUUAAGUCAGUUUGUAUACCACUAUAAAAGUAAUAUUUAAUUAUUAUUACUUUAAUUUUUAAAAUAAAAAAUUAAAUUAAGUCAUGGGGCAGCAUAAAUUUUAGGAUGAAGUGAAUUACAUUUCUUAUUAGAAAUUUAAAAAUUAAAAUUAAUUUUAGGAUUUGAAAGUAAAAAUUCAAUAAAAUGGUUUUU